UGGGGGAUAUUGCACAAUGGGGGAAACCCUGAUGCAGCGACGCCGCGUGAGGGAAGACGGUCCUCUGGAUUGUAAACCUCUGUCUUCGGGGACGAAACGAGACGGUACCCGAGGAGGAAGCCACGGCUAACUACGUGCCAGCAGCCGCGGUAAUACGUAGGUGGCAAGCGUUGUCCGGAAUUACUGGGUGUAAAGGGAGCGUAGGCGGGCAGGCAAGUCAGGCGUGAAAUAUAUCGGCUCAACCGGUAUCGGCGCUUGAAACUGCAGGUCUUGAGUGAAGUAGAGGUUGGCGGAAUUCCUAGUGUAGCGGUGAAAUGCGUAGAUAUUAGGAAGAACACCAGUGGCGAAGGCGGCCAACUGGGCUUUUACUGACGCUGAGGCUCGAAAGUGUGGGGAGCAAACAGGAUUAGAUACCCUGGUAGUCCACACCGUAAACGAUGAUUACUAGGUGUUGGAGGAUUGACCCCUUCAGUGCCGCAGUUAACACAAUAAGUAAUCCACCUGGGGAGUACGACCGCAAGGUUGAAACUCAAAGGAAUUGACGGGGGCCCGCACAAGCAGUGGAGUAUGUGGUUUAAUUCGACGCAACGCGAAGAACCUUACCAAGUCUUGACAUCCUGCGACGGUGCUGGAAACAGUACUUUCCUUCGGGACGCAGAGACAGGUGGUGCAUGGUUGUCGUCAGCUCGUGUCGUGAGAUGUUGGGUUAAGUCCCGCAACGAGCGCAACCCUUAUGGUCAGUUACUACGCAAGAGGACUCUGGCCAGACUGCCGUUGACAAAACGGAGGAAGGUAGGGAUGACGUCAAAUCAUCAUGCCCUUUAUGACUUGGGCUACACACGUACUACAAUGGCUGUUAACAGAGGGAUGCAAAGCCGCGAGGUAGAGCGAACCCCUAAAAGCAGUCUUAGUUCGGAUUGUAGGCUGCAACCCGCCUACAUGAAGUCGGAAUUGCUAGUAAUCGCAGAUCAGCAUGCUGCGGUGAAUACGUUCCC
rnacentral:rRNA from 1 species